rnacentral:rRNA from 1 species
UACGUAGGGCGCAAGCGUUGUCCGGAAUUAUUGGGCGUAAAGAGCGUGUAGGCGGCUUUGCAGGUCCGCUGUGAAAACUCGAGGCUCAACCUCGAGCUGUCGGUGGAAACCGUAAAGCUAGAGUCCGGAAGAGGAGAGUGGAAUUCCCGGUGUAGCGGUGAAAUGCGCAGAUAUCGGGAAGAACACCCGUGGCGAAGGCGGCUCUCUGGGACGGUACUGACGCUGAGACGCGAAAGCGUGGGGAGCGAACAGG